rnacentral:rRNA from 1 species
UGCACGUGCUAAGUACAUACAUUACAAAUGUGAGACUGCGGACGGCUCAGUAAAUCAGUUAUAAUCUGCUCGAUUGUUAAUGGUUAGUGGAUAACCGUGGGAAAUCUAGAGCUAAUACAUGUAAAUUUUGACAUGAACGUAAGUUUGUGUUGAUGGCAUUUAUUAGUAAAUUACAAACCGUUGGGCAACCAAUGUGGUGAAUCUAGAUAACUGUGCAGAUCGUAUAGCCUUGAGCUGAUGACAUUUCGAUUGAAUUUCUGCCCUAUCAACUAUUGUCGGUAGUGUAGUGGACUACCGAGGUUGUUACGGGUGACGGGGGAUCAGGGUUCGAUUCCGGAGAGGGAGCCUGAGAGACGGCUACCACAUCCAAGGAAGGCAGCAGGCGCGCAAAUUACCCAAUCCAGACAAUGGGAGGUGGUGACGAAAAGUACCGGAUGACGGCAUAUGUCGUCAAUCUGGAAUGGAAUCAAUUUAAGCAAUUGAUUGAGUAACUACUAGAGGGCAAGUCUGGUGCCAGCAGCCGCGGUAAUUCCAGCUCUAGUAGCGUGUCUCAAAGUUGCUGCGCUUAAAACGCUCGUAGUUGGAUCACAAACUGUGUUUUGGUGGAUACGAGUGUUGACGUCAAAUUUGGAAUAGUGUCAGUAUGUCCUCAUGCUGGCAUGAUUCCAGGCGAUGUGACAUUAGUAUCGUAAGCCGAGACAUGGUAAUUGCACGUGAGGAUAGAUGAUGGUCUUGAGUGAACUGUCAUUUGUGUCUCACGGAGUGUGCCUUGAGUAAAUCAGAGUGCUUAAAGCAGGCUUUACGCUUGAAUGUUAUUAGCAUGGAACGAACGAUCGUGUAUGGUGUAUGCUGACUGUGACAUGUGCAACUUGUUGUGCAUUCAUCAGUGUACCACACCGACCACCAAAUACGAAUGUUGGUUUCGUUUUGGGGUAUUGAUUAAGAGGAGCGGUUGGGGGCAUUGGUAUUUGGCAGCGAGAGGUGAAAUUCUUGGACCUGCCAAGGACUAACAAAUGCGAAGGCAUCUGUCCAGACCGUAUCCAUUAAUCAAGAACGAUAGUGAGAGGUUCGAAGGCGAUCAGAUACCGCCCUAGUUCUCACUGUAAACUAUGCCGACCCGGGAUCAGUUUGGAGCUAUUUUCCAUGCUCGAGGUUGGUCCCCCUGGGAAACCUAAAGUUUUUCGGUUGCGGGGGGAGUAUGGUCGCAAGGCUGAAACUUAAAGGAAUUGACGGAAGGGCACCACCAGGGGUGGAGCCUGCGGCUUAAUUUCACUCAACACGGGAAAACUUACCUGGUCCGAACAUCCGAAGGAUACACAGACCGAUAGAUCUUUGUUGAUGGGGUGAAAAGUGGUGCAUGGCCGUUCUUAGUUCGUGGAGUGAUCUGUCAGGCCUAUCCCGGUAACGAACGAGACUAUGGUCUCCACUUGACGUACCGUAGAAGGCAAGAAACGUAUUAUUUUUGGCAACAAAAGUAGUAUGUUUUGAGUUGUCGGCAAUAGGAGUGAAUGUGUUUUGCUGAUCAUGUAUGGGUUUCAUGCAGAAGUCAGCAAGCAUUAGGAUCUCGUAUUCCCUACGGUGAAGCAAUGCAAUAUUCCUAGAGUAUUGUAUUGCAUCGUGGAGAGACAGCGGAAUAUACCCAAAAUCCGAGGAAGUGUAGCUAUAACAGGUCCGUGAUGCCCUUAGAUGUUCAGGGCUGCACGCGCGCUACAAUGGUGACAACAACGAGUUUCUGGAUCGAAAGAUUCGGGUAAUCUUGCAAUUGUCAUCGUGAUGGGGAUCGACGUUUGUAAAUACGUCGUGAAAGAGGAAUCCCUAGUACGUGCGAUUCAUGCAAAUCGCGCGGAUUGCGUCCCUGCCCUUUGUACACACCGCCCGUCGCUACUACCGAGUGAAUGGUGUCAUAAUACCUUGGGAGCGGACGUCGCCUGGGCCUCGUGCCCGGUGUGAUGCUGCAAUCAGCGUAGAAUGGCGCA